ensembl:lncRNA
GAAGUCGCUCAGUCGUGUCCGACUCUUCGAGACCCCAUGGACUGUAGCCCACCAGGCUCCUCCGUCCAUGGGGUUUUUCAGGCAAGAGUACUGGAGUGGGGUGCCAUGUUAACAAUCUGAAGCUAAAAUUUCGUGUGGGGUCAACAGGGGAGGCUUGGGGGAGAUGUGAGACAUGGAGACAGAUACAAGUCCACUGGGAGCCUUGCCUUGUUCUGAGGGCAUCUAGGCCCAGGCCGCUGCCAGAAAAGCGCCCCUCCCAGAUCUCCUGGAUCCUUCUGGGCCCUCGUCAGGUCAGCCUCUUCCUCUGGCUCGGCGUGGCCGACGGCUUGAGCACCUGUGCUACCUGCGUCUCACAGAGGUAGAAGUCAGUCCCCCAUCCUCCGUGCCUGGGGGCUCCGGAGGGGGAACCGGUGCUUGACUCAGGGCCAGUAUGGAGCAGGCGCCCAGACACAGUCCAUGGAGGAGAACAGCUCACGGAUGUCGUCCUGAGAACAGCUCUGGGUCGUGGCCCUGUCCCCGCACACGCCUGGCCUGUGGUGUGAGAUAUUAGCCCAGCCUGUAGAUAAAGACGCAAAGGUUCAGGGAGGCAAGGUUUGCAGCCGAUUGGCCACAGGCCUGGGAGGAGGCCAGGAGGAGGCCGGGCACUCCUCUCCACUCCGUUCCGCAGACAGUCUUGCUUCAAGGACGCUGGGGGAGCUGCCAGCCACCAGCAGACCCUGAGAGCAGCCUCCACAUCUGACUCCGGGGUGACUGCCUUGAAGUUGCAGUGUUCCUUCAGACCCCAGCAGCACCAGGUGCCUGUGGGCCAGAAGGGGCAGACAGACGUGGGCCCGGGCCGCCUGCAGGCUCCGUCCCCCCCGAGGCUGCGGGCUGGCCUGCUGCCUCCUGCUCUGGGCACACCCGUCUCACGUGUGCGCCAGAUAAACAGCCAGACUCUGCUGUGCAGAAGGCACAACAGUGCACACAUUACUUUGCAAUUUGCUUUUCAAAUUUUGCUCUGUGAUGGUUCAUCCUUCAAGCCGAAGCCCGGAGCCCUGGCUCCUUCUGUCUCGUGUGUACAUUUUUCCAUCGAGAGGAGGCACGGGAGUGUAUUCAGCCUGGCCCUUGUUAGUAAACAUUCUGCUUGUUUCUGCGUUUGGGAGGCACAGAGCGUUGUGAUAAACAUUCAUGGACAUAUGUCCUUACAAGAGGAAGAUCCGGGGGGGUGGUUCUGAGAGGACGGAGCAGAGGCAGCUUCUCAGAUGUGCCCCCAGCCCCCAGCCCCAGCCGCUCUCCCUCUGCAGCCGGAACCCCGCCUCCUGGUCUGGACACACCUGCCC